rnacentral:lncRNA from 1 species
CAUAGCUGCAGAAUAUUCGGACCCUCUAGUCCCAGCCGCCCAGUGAACUUGAGCUGUGUGACCUUGAGCAAAAGGCAAAAUGUUUCUGAUUUUCAGUCCCCUCAUCUGGAAAAGGAGGAGGCUGUGGGACAUGAUGAUCUUUGAAAGUCUAAUAAUGAAACAAACAGAAAACCUGUGCUUCUAAGUUGGUGAGUCUGGAAAGGCUUGGUGUACAGUUGAUGUCUAGAAUAUAUUAACAGAAGGCUGCCCUGUAGAAGUUUUGAGUUAAUGGUUUCCAUCAACGCAGGAGUGGAAGAAGCUACUGGGGAUCAGGAAUCAGAAGUCCUGGCUUUAAGCCCUAGCUUUAGCCCUCAC